rnacentral:rRNA from 1 species
CUCGCCAGGGGACAACGAGCCUAGGCUUAAAACCCAAAGGACUUGGCGGUGCUUUAGACCCCCCUAGAGGAGCCUGUUCUAGAACCGAUACUCCCCGUUAAACCUCACCCUCCCUUGUUCACCCCGCCUAUAUACCGCCGUCGUCAGCUUACCCUGUGAAGGACAAACAGUAAGCGAAAUUGGUAAAACCCAAAACGUCAGGUCGAGGUGUAGCGCACGAGAGGGGAAGAAAUGGGCUACAUUUACUGAAGCAGUAAAUACGGAUGACGAACUGAAACCACGUCUAAAGGAGGAUUUAGUAGUAAGAGAAGAAUAGAGUGCUUCCCUGAAAACGGCCCUGAAGCGCGCACACACCGCCCGUCACCCUCCCCAACAUUAAAUCCCAACGAUAAAUAACAGGAAAAUAAAACAAAGGGGAGGCAAGUCGUAACAUGGUAAGUGUACCGGAAGGUGUGCUUGGAUCAACA